rnacentral:lncRNA from 1 species
GAAGUCUUCAGUUAAUCCAAGUAAUCAUGCUAUGUGCAUGGGAGAGAGAAAACCUGAAUCUUUUUCUGGCUGCCUUACUGACUGCUAUAAAUUGUCCUCCAACACAUGUAGGGAGAGCAGAGCCAAAAUUUCCACAGAAGGACUCCAACCAGGAAACUCUGGAUGUGCUUCUUUUUUCAGAGAACGACUCUGGCUUUCAGGCCCCCUUGCCAAUCCCACACCCAUGGAGGACCCUUGACUAAUAGUUGUUUUUAAGGAGUCUUUGUUGAUUUCAAACAGAAACUAAAAUGCAACCCAAGGACUCAGAUGAGAGCAGAACUUCUAGAAAGUGAGUCGAAAGCAAAGGAGCGCAUAUACUCUCUGCUGCAAAGGCUUCUGAGAAGGAGAAGUCAAGAGUUUGAUGUCUUUGUCAUCCCUGCUCGGGCAGCAGGAUACUUUCCCAGAGGCCAUGGAGACAGGACGCCUAGGUGCCCAAGCACUGCAGAGAUGGAUUCCAGUGGGAGAUGCCAAAACUCAUUUUUCUGGCUGCAGUUCUCGGACAAGACUUGACCUCUUCCAGUUGGGACUCCCUGCAGCAAAUCACAUUACACAGCUGUGCCUUUAGAACAAUGAGACACACCUAGAGGAUCAGACCAGGAUGCCAAGAAAAUGUCCACACAGAGAAACAGUAAACACUCUGACAUCAUAUGAACUGAUUGGCUUCCUAUAUUCUGAGGUCUUUUUAUAGAGAUUUCACUCAGAUAAAAAUGCAAGCCGCUGAACCAUAUGCCUAAGUGUUUUCUCUACGCUGCUGGCCUGAGCAGCUGGCAAAACACGAUCUAGGACUGAUAAACUAUCCUGACAAAAGCACUUCAGAGAGGUCUGCAGGCUGGGGUCUGAAAGAGGUCUGAAUUUUAAAAAGGUACUAAUUGCUCAAAGGAUGGAACAGUUCCUCCGAAAUCUAACCCGGUACCUUAAUAGAACCCAUUAAGGCACUGUGAGAAUCAUAGAGAGAAAACAUGUCCCCAGUAAGGAAGGAUGACGUGGGAACGCACUGACCAGGACUUUUCAGGCACCGAUGAAUCCUUCAAGAACUGAAAGAAAAACUUGAUUUUAGCAACUGAGCAAGAAACAAAGGUGCAAAAGUCGAUCACAGAGAAACUAUUAGAGAUAAGGUUAAGGGUCUCUGUGCAAACGUGGAUGUCUGUGACCUCCAUCCUCCCAGCAGAUGUUGCCAAGGUCUGUUGGGAAGCCUGGGGGGGCGGGCAGUGCCCAAAGGGUGGGAAGGCAUGGCUUAGUCACACACUUGUGACCUCUGACCCUCCAGAGAGAGUAUGAGCUCCACAGCUGGGCCUGGCCUGCUCCUUUGGCACCUGCGGUGUGGAUUUCAUAUCAACAGUUGAUCGCUGUCUGACAGGACUUUAUUAAACAUACAGAACCCUACAUUACUGGGCAGUGAAUCCAAAGGAGGACUGAACCAAUCAGGGCUGAGGACUUGGGUGCCUGCUGCCAUGUUUUAUCUCAUCCCACUGCCUCCGCACCAGGGAUCUCAAUAAUUUCGGGCUCUCUGAUGAUGGCCUCUCAUCCUUAUGUUU